rnacentral:lncRNA from 1 species
UAAUUUGGAACUUGUACACCGUGUGCACUUAUUUUGAACUUGUACACUAUGUGCACUUAUUUUCUAUAUGUAUGAUAAAAUAUCACCCACCUCUACCUGGUCCGCCGCCGGGUGAACCACGAUCGCCCACUCCAAUUUUACUUUCUCCAAUAACCCUUAGGUUCUCUUUAUUUUCAUCUGCAACUACCAACUAAAUAAGAAAUUCAUGGUUCGAAUAUUUAGUAUCUUUACAUCAAAAAGUAAAUAUCAGUAUUAUUACUAGAACUCAAACUAGAAGUAGAAGAGAGAAGAGAGAGCCUUACUGAUUUUGGGGACUUGAGAGUUAUUCGAGCAAUAGCAAUAUUAUAAGAUGCAAACAAAAUGAGGAAAAGGAUUGGGAUAGCAUAGGAAGCCAUUUUAGCCAUUUCAAUUACUUUCUUCUAUUAAAAGAGAAGAGUAAUCGCGGCAUAUCAAUUCCUUCAUCACCAUUAUAUACUUUUAAUUCAUUAAAGAUUUUAAAGUUUUAAAAUUGAUAAAUUUCAUUAUAUCCUAAAUUCGAUUAUUUUAAAAGAAAAAAAUUUCACAUCAAACAAACAGGGAGAAUUCUCAAUUCUUUCAUUUUCUUUAUUAACCAUGGAAUUUGACUACUUGAUAUUAUUUCAAAAUACAUUUCAGUGCCUAUGGUAUUUAUUUCCCAACCAAUCAAAUGUAAAAUUUAUAAAUUUUUACAUUUACCCUCAUCGAUGCUAUUAAUCUCAAAGAAUUUCCUUUAUAAUUUAAAUCAAAGAAAGAAAGAAAAAAGGAAAAAGAAACAAAGAGAAAUACUCACUUGUUCUGUGGAGUUGGUUUGGUCUUGCAAAGGCAAUAUCGGAGGUGAACAAAACGAGCAAAAGAAUCAUACCAGAAACCAUAAGGGAGGCCUUGCGAAC